GAAGAACGUCGCGGGAGCUUGGACCAGCCAGGCUGAGAGUGCGCCGGAUCGACCGUAGGGCAUGGCGGUGACGCCGCCCCGGUCGAGGGAGCGCUGACCGCCUGAACCUGUCCGGAUAAUGCCGGCGUAGGGAGUAUCGGCCAUGACGGCUG
rnacentral:ncRNA from 1 species